rnacentral:lncRNA from 1 species
CUUCUCUUUGAGCAAGAAAUAAAAGUAUGAUGCAAUAAGUGCAAGAUAGUCCUCUUUCCGGUUCUGCUGCUGACAAGCCAUGGUCUUGGGUAGGUUGUGUACCUGUGAUCUAUAAACAUGGUCUUUAUGCCUCCGGGGUGAAGGGCAUUGAAGAACAGUGCUCUAAAUGGAAAGGUUUUAACAAUAUAGAGUAACUUAUUCCUUUAGAUGAAAGUUAAUUUUUGGAACAUGAAGUUCUUUGUACAAUGUGAAUAGAUUUAAUGUAUUGAAUGUAUUAUAUUAAUACAAAUAAAGGACUUGAAUUUUUUGUCAAGUUUUUAAAAUUCCUUAGUUACUAUGUGAAUGUACCGUCACUGUUAAAAAAUUUCAAGCAAUACGCAUGCUAUCUAUCUUC